rnacentral:rRNA from 1 species
GACGAACGCUGGCGGCGUGCUUAACACAUGCAAGUCGAGCGAGGCCCCUCCUUCGGGAGGGUGUCCUAGCGGCGAACGGGUGAGUAACACGUGGGCAACCUGCCCUCAGCUCUGGGAUAACUCCAAGAAAUUGGGGCUAAUACCGGAUACGACCGCUGACCGCAUGGUCUGGUGGUGGAAAGAUUUAUCGGCUGAGGAUGGGCCCGCGGCCUAUCAGCUUGUUGGUGGGGUAGUGGCCUACCAAGGCGACGACGGGUAGCCGGCCUGAGAGGGUGACCGGCCACACUGGGACUGAGACACGGCCCAGACUCCUACGGGAGGCAGCAGUGGGGAAUAUUGGACAAUGGGCGAAAGCCUGAUCCAGCAACGCCGCGUGAGGGAUGACGGCCUUCGGGUUGUAAACCUCUUUCAGCGGGGACGAAGCGAAAGUGACGGUACCCGCAGAAGAAGGACCGGCCAACUACGUGCCAGCCGCCGCCGUAAUAC